rnacentral:rRNA from 1 species
UAAGUUUCAACAACGGAUCUCUUGGCUCUCGCAUCGAUGAAGAACGCAGCGAAAUGCGAUAAGUAAUGUGAAUUGCAGAAUUCAGUGAAUCAUCGAAUCUUUGAACGCACCUUGCGCUCCUUGGUAUUCCUUGGAGCAUGCCUGUUUGAGUAUCAUGAAAUCU